rnacentral:rRNA from 1 species
GAUGAACGCUGGCGGCGUGCCUAAUACAUGCAAGUCGAGCGAACGGACGAGAAGCUUGCUUUUCUGAUGUUAGCGGCGGACGGGUGAGUAACACGUGGAUAACCUACCUAUAAGACUGGGAUAACUUCGGGAAACCGGAGCUAAUACCGGAUAAUCUUCUGAACCGCAUGGUUCAAAAGUGAAAGACGGUCUUGCUGUAACUUAUAGAUGGAUCCGCGCUGCAUUAGCUAGUUGGUAAGGUAACGGCUUACCAAGGCAACGAUGCAUAGCCGACCUGAGAGGGUGAUCGGCCACACUGGAACUGAGACACGGUCCAGACUCCUACGGGAGGCAGCAGUAGGGAAUCUUCCGCAAUGGGCGAAAGCCUGACGGAGCAACGCCGCGUGAGUGAUGAAGGUCUUCGGAUCGUAAAACUCUGUUAUUAGGGAAGAACAUAUGUGUAAGUAACUGUGCACAUCUUGACGGUACCUAAUCAGAAAGCCACGGCUAACUACGUG